rnacentral:rRNA from 1 species
ACUCCUACGGGAGGCAGCAGUGGGGAAUAUUGCACAAUGGGCGCAAGCCUGAUGCAGCCAUGCCGCGUGUAUGAAGAAGGCCUUCGGGUUGUAAAGUACUUUCAGCGGGGAGGAAGGCGAUAAGGUUAAUAACCUUGUUGAUUGACGUUACCCGCAGAAGAAGCACCGGCUAACUCCGUGCCAGCAGCCGCGGUAAUACGGAGGGUGCAAGCGUUAAUCGGAAUUACUGGGCGUAAAGCGCACGCAGGCGGUCUGUCAAGUCGGAUGUGAAAUCCCCGGGCUCAACCUGGGAACUGCAUUCGAAACUGGCAGGCUAGAGUCUUGUAGAGGGGGGUAGAAUUCCAGGUGUAGCGGUGAAAUGCGUAGAGAUCUGGAGGAAUACCGGUGGCGAAGGCGGCCCCCUGGACAAAGACUGACGCUCAGGUGCGAAAGCGUGGGGAGCAAACAGGAUUAGAAACCCGUGUAGUCCCAUG